rnacentral:rRNA from 1 species
GAUGAACGCUGGCGGCGUGCUUAACACAUGCAAGUCGAACGGUGAAGCAGGAGCUUGCUCUUGUGGAUCAGUGGCGAACGGGUGAGUAACACGUGAGCAACCUGCCCCUGACUCUGGGAUAAGCACUGGAAACGGCGUCUAAUACUGGAUAUGUGAUGUGACUGCAUGGUCUGCAUCUGGAAAGAAUUUCGGUUGGGGAUGGGCUCGCGGCCUAUCAGCUUGUUGGUGAGGUAAUGGCUCACCAAGGCGUCGACGGGUAGCCGGCCUGAGAGGGGAACCGGCCACACUGGGACGGGGACACGGCACAGACUCCGACGGGAGGCAGCAGUGGGGAAUAUUGCACAAUGGGCGGAAGCCUGAUGCAGCAACGCCGCGUGAGGGAUGACGGCCUUCGGGUUGUAAACCUCUUUUAGCAGGGAAGAAGCGAAAGUGACGGUACCUGCAGAAAAAGCACCGGCUAACUACGUGCCAGCCGCCGCCGUAA